UUUCCGUAGGUGAACCUGCGGAAGGAUCAUUACAGAGUUCUGGCCCUCACCGGUUGAUAUCCCACUCUUGAAUAUUUAUACCUUAGUUGCUUUGGCAGUCUGUGGAAACACCAUGGGCUCAGGCUUAUGCGUGUCUGCCAGCGGAAACAAACUCUGUUUUUAGUGAUGUCUGAGUACUAUAUAAUAGUUAAAACUUGCAACAACGGAUCUCUUGGUUCUG
rnacentral:misc_RNA from 1 species